AGUACUUAAAGACACGUGAUCCUACGCAAAUGCGUGGACACAAAAUAUACCGUAUAUAUACGUUUAUAUACACAAGCUAAUAUAAAGGUAACUACCAUCAGAUACCUAAAGUACUACUUUCUUCUAUGGCUAGUCUACUGCAGAUGUGUUCACCUCUUAUACAUAGUAAUGUCAUUGUGAAGACUAUCCAACGUCCUCAGUCAUUCACAUGCACCAUACUAGCUAAAACGACACCGAGUGAUGAGUCUCCAGUUGUUCCUCGUCGUUCCGCAAAGUAUCAGCCUUCUCUUUGGGACCAUCACAAUCUCCUCUCGGUCGAGAAUAAAUAUACGAAUCAUAAAAGUGUGCGCGAGAGAGAUUUAUUGAAAGAAAAUGUGAGAAAGAUGCUCAAUGAUGAGAGUACAACUCACACCGAGCAAUUGAAGCUCAUUGACGAUUUACAAAAAACUAGGAGUUUCUUACCAUUUUGAACGGGAAAUUGACAAUAUAUUAAACAAUUUCUUAUCAAAAAGAUAGAAGAAACUUCACCUGAGUAUACAAUGGAAAAAGAUCUAUAUGCCACAGCUCUGGAAUUCCGACUACUCAGACAACAUGGUUUCAAUGUUUCAGAAGAUGUAUUUAAUGUUUUCAUGGAGAACUUUGGGAGGUUUGA